rnacentral:rRNA from 1 species
AGAGUUUGAUCAUGGCUCAGGACGAACGCUGGCGGCGUGCUUAACACAUGCAAGUCGAACGAGACGGAUUGAAAGCUUGCUUUUGAAAAGUCGAGUGGCAAACGGGUGAGUAACGCGUAGACAACCUGCCGCAAAGAUGGGGACAACAGUCCGAAAGGACUGCUAAUACCGAAUGUUGUCAGAUUCCCGCAUGGGAGACUGAUUAAAGAUGGCCUCUACUUGUAAGCUAUCGCUUUGUGAUGGGUCUGCGUCUGAUUAGCUAGUUGGUGGGGUAACGGCCUACCAAGGCGACGAUCAGUAGCCGGUCUGAGAGGAUGAACGGCCACAUUGGAACUGAGACACGGUCCAGACUCCUACGGGAGGCAGCAGUGGGGAAUCUUCCGCAAUGGGCGAAAGCCUGACGGAGCAACGCCGCGUGAGUGAAGAAGGGUUUCGGCUCGUAAAGCUCUUUUGACGGGGAAGAUGAUGACGGUACCCGUAGAAUAAGCACCGGCUAACUCUGUGCCAGCAGCCGCGGUAAUACAGAGGGUGCAAGCGUUGUUCGGAAUUACUGGGCGUAAAGGGCGUGUAGGCGGUUUAAUAAGUCAGAUGUUAAAGACCCGGGCUUAACCUGGGGGCUGCGUUUGAUACUGUUAGGCUAGAGAGCAGGAGGGGAGAAUGGAAUUUCCGGUGUAGAGGUAAAAUUCGUAGAUAUCGGAAGGAACACCAGUGGCGAAGGCGAUUCUCUGGACUGCAACUGACGCUGAGGCGCGAAAGCGUGGGGAGCAAACAGGAUUAGAUACCCUGGUAGUCCACGCUGUAAACGAUGAGUGCUAGGUGCGGGUUUUUAGGAAUCCGUGCCGCCGCAAACGCAAUAAGCACUCCGCCUGGGGAGUACGGUCGCAAGAUUAAAACUCAAAGGAAUUGACGGGGACCCGCACAAGCGGUGGAGCAUGUGGUUUAAUUCGAAGCAACGCGAAGAACCUUACCCGCUUUUGACAUAGGGAUCGAGAGGCUAAGAGAUUAGUUUUGUCGGUUCGGCCGGAUCCUAUACAGGUGCUGCAUGGCUGUCGUCAGCUCGUGUCGUGAGACGUUGGGUUAAGUCCCGCAACGAGCGCAACCCCUAUACAUAAUUGCCAUCAUUAAGUUGGGCACUUUAUGUAAACUGCCACUGAUAAAGUGGAGGAAGGUGGGGAUGACGUCAAGUCCUCAUGGCCCUUAUGGGCGGGGCAACACACGUGCUACAAUGGUGGUGACAAAGAGAAGCGAAGGGGCGACCCGGAGCAAACCUCGAAAAGCCAUCUCAGUUCGGAUUGCACUCUGCAACUCGAGUGCAUGAAGUUGGAAUCGCUAGUAAUCGCGGAUCAGCAUGCCGCGGUGAAUACGUUCUCGGGUCUUGUACACACCGCCCGUCACACCAUGGGAGUUGAUUUUACCUUAAGCCGGUGAGCUAACUCGCAAGAGAGGCAGCCGAUCACGGUGGGGUCGAUGACUGGGGUGAAGUCGUAACAAGGUAACC